rnacentral:tRNA from 1 species
GCCCACGUGGUGGAAUUGGUAGACACGCUACCUUGAGGGGGUAGUGUCCUUACGGACGUGCUGGUUCGACUCCAGUCGUGGGCA